AAAAUACUCCCUCCAUCCGGAAAUACUUGUCGGAGAAAUGGAUGUAUCUAGACGUAUUUUAGUUCUAGAUACAUCCAUUUUUCUGACAAGUAUUUCCAGAUGGAGGGAGUACAUU
rnacentral:pre_miRNA from 1 species